UAAACAGAAAAGCAAAUGUUAUCAGUUCUCUGCUCAGAAAGAAAGAGAAAUAGAAUAUUCCAAAUCACAUAUAUAUGGAUUAAUUAUUAGCUAGCAUGUUUGUAAAACGACAUCACAAUGUGGAAGGCAGAGAUCAUAAGGCAAACAGAAAGGAUUACAUACCGAGGAGGCAGUCAACUCUAAUGCUGCAAAGCUCCGUGGAAAAGAUAGGAUAAUUUCUGUGUCUUUAAAAAAAUGUAGGAAAGGCUCCGUGAGGACAUUCACAGGUAGAAUGUGGUUCUUGCCAACACUAGGAACUCAGGACCUGGCUUUGAGGCUGAUCACUUCUGUAGUCACCACCGUGACAACUGCUGAGGCUGGGAUGGUUUCCCUUCCUCUCCUGACAGAGUGUGAAAAGGCUUUUACUCUUCUUCUAGGUGAGGAACCUGUCACAGCAAAGCCAGGCACCCUGGCCAAGGACAAAGGGGCAGGGCUGGGGUCUGAAUCCAGACUGUCCACAUUUAUCCACAGUGCUGUGUGGUCAAGAGGCCGGAGGCAAGACUGGCCCCUGCACAGAGUCCCAGCACAGAGGAGGAAGCGGUGGCCGGGAGCAGCACACCCUGAUGAAGCUGGACGGGAACACAGUCUGGAGUAUGAGACCUGAGAGGCAGGAAGGGUUGAGGUUGAGUUUGGAGCAGUCUGGGACCCUAAGGGAUAUGUGAGGGACCUAAGGCUAAAGCAGGACAGAGUUGCUGCCUGAAGGCACCACCGCUUCAGCACCAGGAGCAGAAUCUGUGCCCUCUCCGAAGUUGCUCUCAGUUCUAAACUGAGAUGAGGGAACCAAACCCCCAAGAGCGCACGAUGGCCUAUAGCCAACAGGGUCUCUGGAGGGGUGGCUUUGCCCCAAGCACCCGAUCGGAUCGAGGGGUCUUUCGGGAGAGGAACGACCCUCUCUACUAAACCGCUCCGUUAGUGGGCCUGCAGUCCGCCGCUCACCGCACCCGCCCUCCCCCGUCGCCCCGCGAGCGCCCGGCCCUCUCUCUGGCCCACGGCCCUCUCUCUGGCCCACGGCGGGGCGUCCCUUCCCAAACGGGAACGGCCUCGGCGCGCCGGCGGGUGGCGCGUGGGCGCGCGUGUGCUCGCUGGACUGGCAAGCACCGUGGGGGCGCGAGGGAAGGGCAAGGCCAAGGGGAAGCGGUGCGCGGAGGGCCGUGGGCGGCCGGCAGGUCCCGAGCUAGGCAGGGGCAAGAGGACUGGGCAGCGGGAUGGGGACUGGGCAGCGGGAUGGGGACACGGGGAGGGGUGUGGAGAGGGGCUGCGUGGCUGGCGCCGAGGUCCACGCCUCCCAACCCCCCGCCGGGUGACGACCAGUCAUGCCCGAGGCCUAGGGGGCCUGACGAGUC